AUGUACAGGACCCAGUGGACCCUGGAGCCCAUUCCCAUCCUGCACAGCAAGAGCAGCCCAUUGCUGGCCCAGGACACCCAUGAUUCAGAUGCACCAUCCCGACAAAGCAAACAUCAGCUUCUAGUUCAAGUUGGUAAUUUUGUAACAAAACCAGCUGAGAACAUUCACCAGAAAAUUACAAAAUUACAUCUUUCUUUCUUUCUUUCUUUCUUUCUUCUUUCUUUCUUUCUUUCUUUCUUUCUUUCUUUCUUUCUUUU
rnacentral:lncRNA from 1 species